rnacentral:rRNA from 1 species
AUAUUAAUAAGGGGAGGAAAAGAAACUAACUAGGAUUCCCUCAGUAAUGGCGAAUGAAGUGGGAACAGCUCAGGUUUAAAAUCUGGUAGCAAUCUUGCUGCCCGAAUUGUAGUCUUUUGGAUGGUCAUAGGAGUAUGCACUGGCACAAGUCCGUUGGAAUGCGGCGCCUUAGAGGGUGAGAGCCCCGUAGAUGGCCAGCUGACAACUUGUACUCCGUAAAUUGAUCGUUCGUAGAGUCGGGUUGUUUGGGAAUGCAGCCUUAACUGCGAGGUAAAUUCCUUGCAAAGCUAAAUACAGGCAUGAGACCGAUAGCGAACAAGUAGAGUGAUCGAAAGAUGAAAAGAACUUUGAAAAGAGGGUUAAAAGUACGUGAAAUCGCUAAAAGGGAAGCGAUUGGGUUCAGUAUGGGUACGCCUCUGAAUCGUGUACCGUGUAGGUAUAAGAUGAUACGGAGAGUGUUGGUUUACACCUGAUACAUCCGUGUCGUAUGAAGCCUUCGUCGGUGCACUACUUUUGGGGCGUACUAGUCAGCAUCGGUUCGCUUGUGUUGGCGACAGAAAAGCUGGGGAAUGGUAGGCCGCCUUCGGGUGGCUGAAUGCCCUGGUCGAUUUUGG